rnacentral:lncRNA from 12 species
UUUGUUUAAGGAAACUGGCAAUUAGACUUUAUCUCCUCUAAGUGUUUGGUUCUGAAUUCCACUUAUGCCUAUGACAUCUAAAAUUUCAACAAUGGAUGUCGUCAAGUUCAAAGUUAUUUCCUGGAGUAAUGGCUGUUUAAAACCAGAAGCCUCAAACUCAUGUUUCCAGGGCAAGUUAAGUAACCAACAUUCACAAAAGGGAGGAGUGCCUGCGUUUUUCUGGCAAGUUUGAGAAAAGCAACUCUUGUUAUAUACCUCUGCCUGGACGAAGGACAUGCUCUGCUCAUAGCCUGCUUGUCUAAAGGUUUUUUGGGGUGAGUAGGCAUGGGUGACUCCACCUGCCCUGUCACUAGGUGGGAGAUCCACCUGUUUCUGGGUUGAAGACUAGCAACUGGUCUAAGCCACUUCUCCAGUCCUGCUUUAUCAGUCUGAUAUUUUGAUUCCCGUCUCCUUCACCUCUUUAUUUUCUCCAUAGGUUAAUACUUGUGAUGCUAAGAGUUGGUGUUAUUUGAUACCCUAACAAAAAUAGCAGCCUUCUUAAUUUUUCCCUUUCCCCAUUGUAACUCAUGGCUUUGUUCCCUGAGCUGACUAGGUCUGAACACUUUUACUGUUUUCCACAAAUUAUGGUAUAAAUCUUACUGAGUUCUUUUUUUCCUCUGAAACUCCUUUCCUAGUC